ACCUGAAUCGUUUUAUUUUCUUCUUUUCUCUUCCUCAUCUCCUUCACACUUCUUCUUCCUCUCUAGGGUUAAGAGUAGGGAGAAGCCAAGGUUUUUGCUAAGCAGCCAUGAGUGAGACGAGAGAUAAGCAUUGCAUACCCAGAUCCGUUUCUUACAACCCAAAUUCUUCGUUGUUGUUCUCCUUUAGCUCUUCCUUUACUCUCCGUAGCUCUCACCUUCUCAUUAAAAUGUCAAUUUCAUCUCGUCGGAGAAGGUUUGUUGUUUCUCUCUCUCUUUCCCCCUUUGAAUCUGGGUUUGGAAUUAGGGUUACUUAGAUAUGUUAUUCUUCUUCUACGGUUUUGAGUCUAUUGAGCAAAGGACUGCAAGAGGUUUUACAGAUCGAAAUCACCGAAGAAGAUUUUUCUCACUAGGACCGACUAUGACAGAGGAGUCAACACUUUUUCUCCCGAAGGAAAGCUGUUCCAAGUUGAAUAUGUCAUUGAAGCUAUCAAGGAGGACUAGUGGCCCUAUUAGACGAGCUAAAGGUGGUUGAACUCUUGAGGAUGAGACACUUAGACGAGCUGUUGACAAGUUUAAGGGGAAGAGGUGGAAGAAAAUAUGUAAAUUUUCUUUCCUUGAUCAAAGUCAUCAAAGUCAAAGUUUUCAUAGGUUUCAAUUUCAAGUCAUGAGUUUGUUAAUGGAUUUAUGUCUUUGGUGGGUUUCUCUCAGAUCAAGUGUCGGCUAUUUUGGUUGAGUCUUGUAUUGCUAGUUAUGCCGGUAUAACUACAAGCUCCAUGGUUAUUGGGGCAGUAGGUGGCUUUAAGAACUCAAGGCUCAACUCGGCUCAACUCAGUGUCACCAAAGUCACCGAAGGUACUCAAAACAAGCUCUCUAAAAGCAUAUCACAUUCCUGAAGCUGGAGGACUUCAAGAAGGCGAAGGAGAAGGUUAUAUUUAAGAAGCAAGUUGGAGUUCCUGAAGCUUUUAACGUCUGUUCAUAAACUUUUUUUGAUGGUAUGUAGUAAAUAUUGUAUAAGACUUGGUUUGAUGACUUGUUGUAGUCUAAAAUAUGGUAUGUAUGUUUACUAAUAACUAGGUUCGAACCCGCGGUACACCGCGGGUCAAAUGUUUUAUAAUUUUUAGAUUUUUGAUCUUU